rnacentral:rRNA from 1 species
GGACUACUGGGGUAUCUAAUCCUGUUUGAUCCCCACGCUUUCGUGCCUCAGUGUCAAUGUUCCCGUAGUGAGCUGCCUUCGCAAUUGGUGUUCUAUGUCAUAUCUAAGCAUUUCACCGCUACAUGACAUAUUCCGCUCACCUCCAGAAAAUUCAAGAUAAAUAGUAUCAAUGGCAGUUUCCGAGUUAAGCUCGGAGAUUUCACCACUGACUUACUUACCCACCUACGCACCCUUUAAACCCAGUAAAUCCGGAUAACGCUUGCACCCUCCGUAUUACCGCGGCUGCUGGCAC